rnacentral:rRNA from 1 species
GAUGAACGCUGGCGGCGUGCCUAAUACAUGCAAGUCGAGCGAACAGACGAGGAGCUUGCUCCUCUGACGUUAGCGGCGGACGGGUGAGUAACACGUGGAUAACCUACCUAUAAGACUGGGAUAACUUCGGGAAACCGGAGCUAAUACCGGAUAAUAUAUUGAACCGCAUGGUUCAAUAGUGAAAGACGGUUUUGCUGUCACUUAUAGAUGGAUCCGCGCCGCAUUAGCUAGUUGGUAAGGUAACGGCUUACCAAGGCAACGAUGCGUAGCCGACCUGGGAGGGUGACCGCCCACCCUGAACUGGGGCCCGGGUCCAACCCCCCAGGGGGGCCGCCAUUGGGAACUUUCCCGCAAGGGGGAAAACCCUAACGGGCCAACCCCCGUGAGGGAAUAAAGUUUUUCGAUCUUAAAACCCUUUUUUUUAGGGAAAAAAAAUUGUUAAAUAACUCUUCCCCUCUUUGCCGUUCCCAAUUCGAAAACCCCCGCCAAACUACUU